rnacentral:lncRNA from 1 species
CUAGACUAAAAGCACUUAUUACUCACAUGGCAUGAUUAUAAGUGCUUUUCCUUUUUUUUUUUUUAGUCAUUUUAUUGGUACUGGGGAAUGAAUCCUGAGGUGCUUAACUAAUGAUCUUUUUAUUUUUUAUUUUGAGACAAGAGCUUGCUAAGUUGCUCAGUGCCUUGCUAAGUUGCUGAGGCUGGCUUUGAACUUGCAAUCCUCUUGCCUCAGCCUCUGAGCCAUUGGGAUUACACUGGCUAAUUCUGAACAAAUGUAAAAUGUACAGAGAAAAUGAUACAAUAUACUGAUUAUGGACUCAGGGACAUUUUAAAAGUAAAAACACAUCUAGGCAAAGUGGCACAUGCCUGUCAUUCCAGCAACUGGAGAGUCUGAGGCAGGAGUAUUGCAAGUUGAGGCCAGCCUGGACAAAUUAGUGAGACCAUCUCUCAAAAUAAAAAUUAAAAUAAAGGGCUGGGGAUGUAGCUCAGUGAUAGAACACCCCAGGGUUCAAUUCCCAGUCCUGCAAAAAAAAAAAAUGGUAAAAAGCAUUGGGCCUUCAGGUGUAGCUCAGUGGUAGAGUUCAUGCUCAAGAUCCUGGGUUCAAUCCCCACAGUACAGCCACUAUGGAAAAUAGUAUUGGGGGGAGGGGCUCCCAAAUAUAAAAAAUAGAGUAACAGUAUGAUCCUUCAGUUCCACUCCUGAAUAUAUAUAUAUAUA